AGAAAAGCAGGGGAUCGCAAGACCUUGCGCUUUUGGAGCGGCCGAUGUCUGAUUAGCUAGUUGGUGAGGUAAAGGCUUACCAAGGCGUCGAUCAGUAGCUGGUCUGAGAGGACGACCAGCCACACUGGGACUGAGACACGGCCCAGACUCCUACGGGAGGCAGCAGUGGGGAAUUUUGGACAAUGGGGGAAACCCUGAUCCAGCCAUGCCGCGUGAGUGGAGAAGGCCUUCGGGUUGUAAAGCUCUUUCAGCCGGAACGAAACGGUCACAGCUAAUACCUGUGACUACUGACGGUACCGGAAGAAGAAGCACCGGCUAACUACGUGCCAGCAGCCGCGGUAAUACGUAGGGUGCGAGCGUUAAUCGGAAUUACUGGGCGUAAAGCGUGCGCAGGCGGUUUUGUAAGUCAGAUGUGAAAUNCCCCGGGCUUAACCUGGGAACUGCGUUUGAAACUACAAAGCU
rnacentral:rRNA from 1 species